rnacentral:rRNA from 1 species
CCUACGGGAGGCAGCAGUGGGGAAUAUUGCACAAUGGGGGGAACCCUGAUGCAGCGACGCCGCGUGAGCGAGGAAGUAUUUCGGUAUGUAAAGCUCUAUCAGCAGGGACGAAAAAAGACGGUACCUGACUAAGAAGCACCGGCUAACUACGUGCCAGCAGCCGCGGUCAUACGUAGGGGGCAAGCGUUAUCCGGAUUUACUGGGUGUAAAGGGAGCGUAGACGGCAGCGCAAGUCUGGAGUGAAAUGCCGGGGCCCAACCCCGGAACUGCUCUGGAAACUGUGAAGCUGGAGUGCAGGAGAGGUAAGCGGAAUUCCUGGUGUAGCGGUGAAAUGCGUAGAUAUCAGGAGGAACACCGGCGGCGAAGGCGGCUUACUGGACUGUAACUGACGUUGAGGCUCGAAGGCGUGGGGAGCAAACAGGAUUAGACACCCGGGUAGUC